rnacentral:rRNA from 1 species
GAUGAACGCUAGCGAUAGGCUUAACACAUGCAAGUCGAGGGGCAGCAUGGUCUUAGCUUGCUAAGACUGAUGGCGACCGGCGCACGGGUGCGUAACGCGUAUGCAACUUGCCUCACAGAGGGGGAUAACCCGUCGAAAGACGGACUAAUACCGCGUACACUUGGGAUAGGGCAUCCUGACCCAAGGAAGUGAAAUUCGCUGUGAGAUAGGCAUGCGUCCCAUUAGCUAGUUGGUGAGGUAACGGCUCACCAAGGCGACGAUGGGUAGGGGAACUGAGAGGUUGAACCCCCACACUGGUACUGAGACACGGACCAGACUCCUACGGGAGGCAGCAGUGAGGAAUAUUGGUCAAUGGGCGAGAGCCUGAACCAGCCAAGUCGCGUGAAGGAUGACUGUCUUAUGGAUUGUAAACUUCUUUUAUACGGGAAUAACAAGAGCCACGUGUGGCUCCCUGCAUGUACCGUAUGAAUAAGCAUCGGCUAACUCCGUG